AGAGUUUGAUCAUGGCUCAGAAUCAACGCUGGCGGCGCGCUUAACACAUGCAAGUCGAACGAGAAAGUGGAGCAAUCCAUGAGUAAAGUGGCGUACGGGUGAGUAACACGUGGGUAAUCUGCCUUUUAGUGAGGAAUAACGAUGGGAAACCGUCGCUAAUACCGCAUGAGCCCGAGAGGGGAAAGUCGCAAGACGCUGAAAGAGGAGCCCGCGGCCGAUUAGCUAGUUGGUAGGGUAAAAGCCUACCAAGGCAGAGAUCGGUAGCCGGCCUGAGAGGGCACACGGCCACACUGGCACUGAAACACGGGCCAGACUCCUACGGGAGGCAGCAGUGGGGAAUCUUGCACAAUGGGGGCAACCCUGAUGCAGCGACGCCGCGUGAGCGAUGAAGCCCUUCGGGGUGUAAAGCUCUUUCGGCAGGGAAGAUAAUGACGGUACCUGCAGAAGCAGCUGCGGCUAACUACGUGCCAGCAGCCGCGGUAAUACGUAGGCAGCGAGCGUUGUUCGGAGUUACUGGGCGUAAAGGGUGUGUAGGCGGUUCUUUAAGUUUGGUGUGAAAUCUCCCGGCUUAACCGGGAGGGUGCGCCGAAUACUGAGGGACUAGAGUGUGGGAGAGGAAAGUGGAAUUCCUGGUGUAGCGGUGAAAUGCGUAGAUAUCAGGAGGAACACCGGUGGUGUAGACGGCUUUCUGGACCAUAACUGACGCUGAGACACGAAAGCGUGGGUAGCAAACAGGAUUAGAUACCCUAGUAGUCC
rnacentral:rRNA from 1 species